rnacentral:lncRNA from 1 species
UGGGGAGGCAGAAGCAGGAGAACUGCAAGUUCAAGAUCCGCCCGAGCAACUUAAUGGCUUAGCGAAAACUGGGUCAAGAUAAACCGGUUCUGGGGUUCGCAAGCUCUUCCCUGGAAUUCUUUGCAGGUUCUUGUCCUGAACAAAGACAUUUGGGCCAGAAUGUGUAAAAGGUAGUGUGAGGUGUUGCAUUUAAUAAAGGUGUGGAAAGACGCAUCCUGAGCAGCGCGGGUGGGCGGCAGUGACCAUGAGGCUGGCAGCGCCAUCUUUUGUAUUCCCCCUUCUGACGUCAGACCCACGCCGUCCUAUCCACAACCUGCUUGAUCUCAUAGAGGAACUGAAGAUCGCACUUCCUGAUUGGUCCCAGGUGCAGGGCAUGGGCGGUGGGUUUCUACGCAUGCGUCCUCCGUUUCUGUGAUGGACACAUCAGGACCCCUGCCCGGAGGGCUGGCCACGCUCAUACCUCGACGGGCCUGGGGAUUCUCUCUCCAGGCCACCAUGACGUGGGCAGCUUGUCUCCCGCUGGCCUGUCCAUGUGCCAUUCUUGCCUCACAGCUGGUCAACCGCGCAAGACCUGAAACUUCUGAGUCAUCGGAGCCUUCGCACCUUGCGCGAAGAAGCCCACCCUGCUUUGUGACGAGGCCCCCACUCCAUACCUGUGUCCGCCCCUCGUGGCCAGGACAGUUAGCGUGGCCGGAAGUGGGACAGGGAGUGGAGAAGCAUUUCCUGGGGAGAAACCAAACCCCUUCCUCCCCCGCUGGCUGCAACUGCCCAGCAAGGAAGAGAAGACAGCUGUGUGCAGACCAGGAGAACCAGGGCUCCAACACAGGGUCUCCCGGUGCCCCUGCCCAGGGGCCAGGCAGCCAUUCCCCACUCAGGCACCUACAGCUGGGACACGAAAUGCAGAGCUCAGAAAGGUGUGGUGGUGCUGGCCUGUAAUCCCAGCACUCGGGAGCCUGAGAGGAGAAUCACAAAGAGUUCGAAGCCAGGCUGGGCUACGUAGUGAGACCCUGUCUGAAACAAAUUAAUAAUAAUAAUAAAUAAAUAAAAAGGGCUGAGGACUUUUCAGUGUG